UACGAAGGGGGCUAGCGUUGCUCGGAAUUACUGGGCGUAAAGGGAGCGUAGGCGGACUGUUAAGUUAGAGGUGAAAGCCCAGGGCUCAACCUUGGAAUUGCCUUUGAUACUGGCAGUCUUGAGUACGGAAGAGGUAUGUGGAACUCCGAGUGUAGAGGUGAAAUUCGUAGAUAUUCGGAAGAACACCAGUGGCGAAGGCGACAUACUGGUCCGUUACUGACGCUGAGGCUCGAAAGCGUGGGGAGCAAACAGG
rnacentral:ncRNA from 5 species